rnacentral:rRNA from 1 species
CCUACGGGUGGCAGCAGUGAGGAAUAUUGGUCAAUGGGCUUACGCCUGAACCAGCCAAGUCGCGUGAGGGAAGACUGCCCUAUGGGUUGUAAACCUCUUUUGUCAGGGAGCAACGCCGGCUACGUGUAGCCGGCCUUAGAGUACCUGAAGAAAAAGCCUCGGCUAACUCCGUGCCAGCAGCCGCGGUAAUACGGAGGAUGCGAGCGUUCUCCGGUUUUAUUGGGUUUAAAGGGUGCGUAGGCGGAAUGCCAAGUCAGCGGUAAAAUCGCGGGGCUCAACCUCGCUCCGCCGUUGAAACUGGCGGUCUUGAGUGGGCGAGAAGUAUGCGGAAUGCGUGGUGUAGCGGUGAAAUGCAUAGAUAUCACGCAGAACUCCGAUUGCGAAGGCAGCAUACCGGCGCCCAACUGACGCUGAAGCACGAAAGCGUGGGUAUCGAACAGGAUUAGAUACCCGGGUAGUC